GUGACGAGCGGCGGACGGGUGAGUAAUGUCUGGGAAACUGCCUGAUGGAGGGGGAUAACUACUGGAAACGGUAGCUAAUACCGCAUAACGUCGCAAGACCAAAGUGGGGGACCUUCGGGCCUCAUGCCAUCAGAUGUGCCCAGAUGGGAUUAGCUNGUAGGUGGGGUAACGGCUCACCUAGGCGACGAUCCCUAGCUGGUCUGAGAGGAUGACCAGCCACACUGGAACUGAGACACGGUCCAGACUCCUACGGGAGGCAGCAGUGGGGAAUAUUGCACAAUGGGCGCAAGCCUGAUGCAGCCAUGCCGCGUGUGUGAAGAAGGCCUUCGGGUUGUAAAGCACUUUCAGCGGGGAGGAAGGCGGUGAGGUUAAUAACCUCAUCGAUUGACGUUACCCGCAGAAGAAGCACCGGCUAACUCCGUGCCAGCAGCCGCGGUAAUACGGAGGGUGCAAGCGUUAAUCGGAAUUACUGGGCGUAAAGCGCACGCAGGCGGUCUGUCAAGUCGGAUGUGAAAUCCCCGGGCUCAACCUGGGAAACUGCAUUCGAAACUGGCAGGCUAAA
rnacentral:rRNA from 1 species